UUUGCCUUAAUUUUGCCUCAAUUUUGCCUCAAUUUUGCCUUAAUUUUGCCUCCAUUUUGCCUCCAUUUUGCCUCCGUUUUGCCUCCAUUUUGCCUCCAUUUUGCCCGCGUUCUCCACCAAAAAAAAUGGAACGCCUUUUCCCGUAGCAGCCCCUUUCUUCUCUCCUCAGGCAUCAGAUCAUUUUCGAAGGGCUAUUUUUCCUUCACAGCUAACAGCAUCCGCCUCCAAAGGGCGAAGGGGACUCAUCCUGGCUUCUACUGAUAUCUUCUAAAUCCAACGCAGAGAGAGGGAACGUCCCAAAAUCAAGAGGAGCCAAGUCCCCCGGGGAAUGUAGUAGUCCUUCUCUACUGAGAACCAGGUCCAUCCACUACAUGAUGUUAUGAUGUGGAAUACCAACAACUGAAAAUCACACAACCAUGACAAUGACACACCUUUACAACCGUG